rnacentral:lncRNA from 1 species
GCUUGGGAAUCUGAGGCAGGAGGAUUGCCACAAACCCAUGGUACAGGCAGGUGGAUCUCUCUGAUUCAUGGCCAGCCUGAUCUACAAUAGUGACUUCUAGGCCAUCCAAGGCUAUUUAAUGAAACCCUGUCUACAAACAAACAAACAAACAAAAACAAAAAUAAAACAUCAAAACCAGAGAGGAAAGAAGGAAAACAGUGGCAAACCUGGCUCUGGCACAGCUGCCCUGGCUGACUGCAGUCUCACCAUCCUGCUAGCCUUGUCUUUUAUAUACUGAUAGGCUUUUCUGACUUUAAAAAGUCAGUGAUGGGGAUGUAGCUUAUCUGGUGAAGUGCUGUCGAGCAUACAGAAAGCCCUGGUCCUGCUAGCUCCCCUAAAGCCAGGUUUGGUGGCUCACCUGUAGUCAGCACUGGAGAGAGCCCAUGUGGGAGAAUCUAAGUUCACAUUCACCCUUGGCUAUAUGGUGAGUUCCAGGCCAGCCUGGGCUACACAAGACCACGUCUAAAAAUGAAAACAAGAAACAAACAAACAUACAAAAAAGAAAAUAAUAACUUAGGAAGAGCCGUUUUGCUGAGCUUGCUAAGUGUCAGUGGGAGAAUGUGUUUCCUGGAGACCAAAGUCAUUCACUGAAGUCAUUCACUCAGGAAUUACAUACACAUGGAAAGUCACAGACUUAGCUGCGUUCCGAGUUACUGACCACCAGGGGGCAGCAUAGCCCUUGCUCUCAAGUAAAAUUGGUCAUCAAGAAAAGGGUGCUACUUUAUGUACAGUGGGCCAAACUGUACAAAAUGAUAUUUUAUGUGAAAAAGUUUGACAUUUUAUCCAUAGUUUUAAAUUUCAAAUUAAGCAUUUUCAAUAAAAUGGGUGGUUU